ACUCCGACCGGAGACGGAAGGAGUGCUUUUAUUAGAUCAAAACCAAUCGGUGGCGGGUUCGCUCGUCAUCGUACAACUUGGUGACUCUGAAUAACUUUAUGCUGAUCGCACGGUCUCGCACCGGCGACGCAUCUUUCAAAUGUCUGCCUUAUCAACUGUCGAUGGUAGGUUCUGCGCCUACCAUGGUUGUAACGGGUAACGGGGAAUCAGGGUUCGAUUCCGGAGAGGGAGCCUGAGAAACGGCUACCACAUCCAAGGAAGGCAGCAGGCGCGCAAAUUACCCACUCCCGGCACGGGGAGGUAGUGACGAAAAAUAACGAUACGGGACUCAUCCGAGGCCCCGUAAUCGGAAUGAGUACACUCUAAACCCUUUAACGAGGAUCAAUUGGAGGGCAAGUCUGGUGCCAGCAGCCGCGGUAAUUCCAGCUCCAAUAGCGUAUAUUAAAGUUGUUGCGGUUAAAAAGCUCGUAGUCGAAUCUGUGUCUUGCGCCGCCGGUUCAUCGUUCGCGGUGUUAACUGGCGUGUCGCAGGACGUCCUGCCGGUGGGCUUAGCUCGCAAGGGCGGCCCAACUCAAUCCUGCCGCGGUGCUCUUCACUGAGUGUCGAGGUGGGCCGGCACGUUUACUUUGAACAAAUUAGAGUGCUUAAAGCAGGCUAAAACUUCGCCUGAAUACUGUGUGCAUGGAAUAAUGGAAUAGGACCUCGGUUCUAUUUUGUUGGUUUUCGGAACCCCGAGGUAAUGAUUAAUAGGAACGGAUGGGGGCAUUCGUAUUGCGACGUUAGAGGUGAAAUUCUUGGAUCGUCGCAAGACGGACAGAAGCGAAAGCAUUUGCCAAAAACGCUUUCAUUGAUCAAGAACGAAAGUUAGAGGUUCGAAGGCGAUCAGAUACCGCCCUAGUUCUAACCAUAAACGAUGCCAGCUAGCGAUCCGUCGACGUUCCUCCGAUGACUCGACGGGCAGCUUCCGGGAAACCAAAGCUUUUGGGUUCCGGGGGAAGUAUGGUUGCAAAGCUGAAACUUAAAGGAAUUGACGGAAGGGCACCACCAGGAGUGGAGCCUGCGGCUUAAUUUGACUCAACACGGGAAACCUCACCAGGCCCGGACACCGGAAGGAUUGACAGAUUGAGAGCUCUUUCUUGAUUCGGUGGGUGGUGGUGCAUGGCCGUUCUUAGUUGGUGGAGCGAUUUGUCUGGUUAAUUCCGAUAACGAACGAGACUCUAGCCUGCUAACUAGGCGUAUUUUGACAUCGCAAAGGCCCGCCGGUAUUGGGGUUCGCUCCUUUAUCGUGCGCGGUUUUUACUGUCGGCGUACAAACAAUUCUUCUUAGAGGGACAGGCGGCUUCUAGCCGCACGAGAUUGAGCAAUAACAGGUCUGUGAUGCCCUUAGAUGUUCUGGGCCGCACGCGCGCUACACUGAAGGAAUCAGCGUGUCCUCCCUGGCCGAGUGGCCCGG
rnacentral:rRNA from 1 species